UACGGAGGGUGCGAGCGUUGUCCGGAAUCACUGGGCGUAAAGGGCGCGUAGGCGGCGCGACAAGUCAAUGGUGAAAGCCCGAGGCUCAACUUCGGGUCGGCCACUGAUACUGUUGGGCUUGAGCACUGUAGAGGCAGGUGGAAUUCCGGGUGUAGCGGUGGAAUGCGUAGAGAUCCGGAAGAACACCGGUGGCGAAGGCGGCCUGCUGGGCAGUAGCUGACGCUGAGGCGCGACAGCGUGGGGAGCAAACAGG
rnacentral:rRNA from 1 species